rnacentral:rRNA from 1 species
GUGGGGAAUCUGCUCAAUGGGCGCCAAGCCUGAAUGCAGCGGCGCCCGGGUGAGGGAUUACGGCCUUUCGGGGUUGUAAACCUCCUUCAGUAGGGGAAGAAGCCUUUCGGGUGACGGUACCUGCAGGAAGAAAGCGCCCGGCUAACUACGUUCCAGCAGCCGCGGUAAUACGUAGGGCGCGAGCGUUAUCCGGAAUUAUUGGGCGUAAAGAGCUCGUAGGCGGUUUGUCGCGUCUGCUGUGAAAGCCCGGGGCUUAACUCCCGGGUGUGCCAGUGGGUACGGGCAGACUAGAGUGCAGUAGGGGAGACUGGAAUUCCUGGUGUAGCGGUGAAAUGCGCAGAUAUCAGGAGGAACACCGAUGGCGAAGGCAGGUCUNUGGGCUGUUACUGACGCUGAGGAGCGAAAGCAUGGGGAGCGAACAGGAUUAGAUACCCUGGUANUNCAUGCCGUAAACGUUGGGCACUAGGUGUGGGGGACAUUCCACGUUUUCCGCGCCGUAGCUAACGCAUUAAGUGCCCCGCCUGGGGAGUACGGCCGCAAGGCUAAAACUCAAAGGAAUUGACGGGGGCCCGCACAAGCGGCGGAGCAUGCGGAUUAAUUCGAUGCAACGCGAAGAACCUUACCAAGGCUUGACAUGUGCCAGACCGCCAUAGAGAUAUGGUUUCCCUUUUGGGCUGGUUCACAGGUGGUGCAUGGUUGUCGUCAGCUCGUGUCGUGAGAUGUUGGGUUAAGUCCCGCAACGAGCGCAACCCUCGUUCCAUGUUGCCAGCGGGUUAUGCCGGGGACUCAUGGGAGACUGCCGGGGUCAACUCGGAGGAAGGUGGGGACGACGUCAAAUCAUCAUGCCCCUUAUGUCUUGGGCUUCACGCAUGCUACAAUGGCCGGUACAAUGGGUUGCGAUACUGUGAGGUUGAGCUAAUCCCAAAAAGCCGGUCUCAGUUCGGAUUGGGGUCUGCAACUCGACCCCAUGAAGUCGGAGUCGCUAGUAAUCGCAGAUCAGCACG